rnacentral:rRNA from 1 species
UACGUAGGGGGCUAGCGUUGUCCGGAAUCAUUGGGCGUAAAGCGCGUGUAGGCGGUUCGGUAAGUCCGCUGUGAAAGUCGGGGGCUCAACCCUCGGAUGCCGGUGGAUACUGUCGAGCUUGAGUACGGAAGAGGCGAGUGGAAUUCCUGGUGUAGCGGUGAAAUGCGCAGAUAUCAGGAGGAACACCAAUGCGAAAGGCAGCUCGCUGGGACGUUACUGACGCUGAGACGCGAAAGCGUGGGGAGCAAACAGG